rnacentral:rRNA from 1 species
UACGGAGGGUGCUAGCGUUGUUCGGAAUUACUGGGCGUAAAGCGCGCGUAGGCGGACCUGCAAGUCGGGGGUGAAAGCCCGAGGCUUAACCGCGGAACUGCCUUCGAUACUGCGGGUCUCGAGUCCGGGAGAGGUGAGUGGAAUUCCUAGUGUAGAGGUGAAAUUCGUAGAUAUUAGGAAGAACACCAGUGGCGAAGGCGGCUCACUGGCCCGGUACUGACGCUGAGGCGCGAAAGCGUUGGGAGCAAACAGG